GAUGAACGCUGGCGGCGUGCUUAACACAUGCAAGUCGAACGGAGCCUAUCGAGUGCUUGCACUUGAGAAAGCUUAGUGGCGGACGGGUGAGUAACGCGUGGGUAACCUGCCCUGUACCGGGGGAUAACAGUCGGAAACGACUGCUAAUACCGCAUAAGCCCACAUGACCGCAUGGUCAAGGGGGAAAAACUCCGGUGGUACAGGAUGGACCCGCGUCUGAUUAGCUAGUUGGUGAGGUAACGGCCCACCAAGGCGACGAUCAGUAGCCGGCCUGAGAGGGUGAACGGCCACAUUGGGACUGAGACACGGCCCAAACUCC
rnacentral:rRNA from 1 species